rnacentral:rRNA from 1 species
AGUGAACGCUGGCGGUAGGCCUAACACAUGCAAGUCGAACGGCAGCACAGUAAGAGCUUGCUCUUACGGGUGGCGAGUGGCGGACGGGUGAGGAAUACAUCGGAAUCUACUUUUUCGUGGGGGAUAACGUAGGGAAACUUACGCUAAUACCGCAUACGACCUACUGGUGAAAGCAGGGGAUCUUCUGACCUUGCGCGAUUGAAUGAGCCGAUGUCGGAUUAGCUAGUUGGCUGGGUAAAGGCCCACCAAGGCGACGAUCCGUAGCUGGUCUGAGAGGAUGAUCCGCCAGACUGGAACUGAGACACGGUCCAGACUCCUACGGGAGGCCGCAGUGGGGAAUAUUGGACAAUGCGCGCAAGCCUGAUCCAGCCAUACCGGCUAGGUGAAGACGGACUUCGGGUUGUAAAGCCCUUUUGUUGGGAAAGAAAAGCAGCAGGUUAAUACCCCGCUGUUCUGACGGUACCCAAAGAAUAAGCACCGGCUAACUUCGUG